ACUGCCCCAGGGGCUUGACCGUGCUGUUGCUGCCUGUUGCUGUGUGUGCGCGCUGCAUUGAGGCAGGUCGAUGUGGAUGUUUAAUCGUGUGUACGCUGUGCCGAGAGAAAAUGUCGUGCCCCUUGUGUGCUUUGAUGAUCACCUAACCCCUGGGACCGCGUAACGUAGCUCGCAGUACCUUUCGCGUGGUUCGCCGAUGUCGAUUAUCGUAGUUAUGGCCCGCUUGCGCUUUCUUUGUUCCCGGCCUCUGAUAAUAUCGCAUCGGAUCACAGUGCACGGAACAAUUUGUUGAGCUAUUACGUGCUGUAGUUCAUCCGCAAUUCAACAGUGUUUACGUCGGAAGGAUCGUCGUGCAGUCGACGCCGCGACCUGACAUGAAGGAGCGUUUGCCGACUACGCCUAGAAAGGGAUGUCAAGAUUUCGUGAACCAGAGGCACCGCAUAGGAACCUAAGACAUUUCUGCAGCCGGAACAGCACGGCAAAGCAUCUGAUCUGCAUGCUGCGACAAGGUAUGGCUGGGCCUGGUGAUGAAGUGUAAGCAGAACAUGCUAUGCUGCGAAUUGGUGCCAAUCUUCACAUCCGAGUUGUUCCCACGACAGUCAAGCACCACUGUGAUUUGCUUCAUUGGCAAGGUAAUAUACUAUGGUGAGCUUGCACCUCAAUAUUGGUAUUGAAAAAUAUGUCAAGUAAAAGACACAAGAGUUGGCCUUUAUGAGAGAUACACUCAUGUUCUUUUUUUAAAGAGCUCUUUUAGCACUGUUCUUUAUGGGCAUGUUUUCAGAGGAUGCUUAUACUCCUUUAUUACAAACUGCCAUGGAGCUAGUUUGUGUGUUAAACUAACACUCUUUCACUAAGAAAAAGUCCAGUUUUUACUCGCACAGUGAUAUGGUGCCAAGGACGAAAGGGGUGGAAUGGAUCAAUCUGAAUGCAUGUUGCUCACACAAAUACAAAAAGGGAGCAUGGUAUGGCUAGCGCGAUUUGUUUUACAGUGAUGAUAAGCAGUCUCAAUGUCUAAUAAUUCUAUUGAUAGGGAGCUAACACACUGGUUCCCCGUCAUUUGAAUAAGGAAAGAUUCACAUAUCUCUGAAGCACUCUGGUCCUUAUAUUUUGCCACAUUCAAGUGGUUUUUAAAUAUGGGUGCACAUUGCACUGAGAGCAGUGCAAUACUAAUGCCAACUGACCCACACAUCAAGUUUGCGUGGUUACGCAGCCUGUCAUUUAUACAUUUGGCUUGUUUAGCCAAUGUAGCAUCUACUGCACAAUAAUGGUAUGUGAUAGACACUGCACCUGUGUACUCUAUGCUUUUUUUGCAUUCAAUUUUUUUCACCGGUAGUGAUGCAUGCCUUUUCAUUAUUUAUGUGCCUACACAACAAGCCAAGCUUGUUCUUGGCCGAGAAAGAAUUCUAGGAAAAGCCUACGUGCUGCAACUUUUCUUGGAACGAAACUAGCUUGGCUCGUUGGGUUAGGUUAAAUGGUUCGAUGGGUUUUGGAGCCCAUACGGGUUCCUUGCUCACACUAAGACACAUAAGCUUGUAGACUGUGCUUCUGUAAUUUGUACAGCUCACUGACAGUGCAGGUGCAGGCCUCAUCUUCUCAAAGAAGCUGACUGACUGCACCUUCCACGGAGCAGGUGACUCGGGUUGAGUGAGGCACCAGUGUUGGUGUUUGUUCCCUUGUGCAAAACAGCAGCUUUAGGUUCAUUGUAGUUGUAGGAAGACAAGUUACACAUAACUUCCAUGGUUUGAGUGGGCGCAUUUCUCUUGGGGCAUCAAGCUUUUUUUUUCCAACUGUCUGCAUGGGUGCUUCAGUAGCAUUGGUGUGAAGUUGGCAUAGAGUUGUGCAUUCAAGAACUUCUGAACAAUGACCUGCUGUAGUUAGCGCUGUGAAGAUUGCAUCGUCUACCAAGCCUUUGGUUUUCUGUUGGUGUACUUGUAAUCGUGCUGUCAGUAAUUUCUCGGCUUGCCGAAUUAUCUUGAGGCCCCACACUGACGCUAUCUAUGUCUUCAAGUGCAGACUUUUAGGAUAAGGUUCUUCGCUUUGCAAAUGUGGUUGUAGGAAAGGUGGCACUUACAGGUGCCUAUUCUGGACAUUAUUGAAACAAGCCAGCGAAUCUUGGUUACGUCUUGUCCAUAGUGUAUAGCAGUUAGUCAAGGGUUGAGAAAAUUGCUCUCAGUGGUAGCAUGCUGGCAGUAACUUGGUCAUUGACCACAUCCUCAUCAUUAUGUUACCUGAUUAGAUUAAUUUUCGUUGAAGCUUUGACAAAAUUUUCCUACAGAAGUUAUGGAUAACACAUUUUAGCCAAGGCACAUUGGUUCGUCUUACUCGUGUCCCGAUUAGAAAUCUAUAGGUGCCACCUUUCCUUCAACCAGACUUACAAAGCUAAGAACCUUGUCCUGAAAAGUUGGCACUUUAAGACAUCAGUAGCGUCAGUGUGGAGCCUCCGGAUAAUUCGGCCAGCCGGGCAGAAAUUACUAAUAGCAAGAGUUCAAGAAUGCUGACAGAAAAUCAAGGGCUUGAAAACUGACACAUUUGCAAGAUGCCAACUAGAGCAGCUCUAUGUCCACUUCAUAGCGACGCUAACGGACCACCUGUGCAAACUGUCGCAAGAAAGCUUGACAUAUUAAAACAAAAAAAGCCUGUUUAAACCAAGAAGUUAACUUCAGCUUGUCUUCCUGCAAGCCCACUAAACCUGAAACUGCCAUUUUGUGCAAAGGACUGAACUUCAACACUGCAGGAUACUUCACGAUAUCCUGGCGAGAGUAACCUUCACCGUGGAACAUGCCUGCAGUCAGCUCCUUCUGAA